GAUGAACGCUGGCGGCGUGCCUAAUACAUACAAGUCGAGCGAACAGACGAGGAGCUUGCUCCUCUGACGUUAGCGGCGGACGGGUGAGUAACACGUGGAUAACCUACCUAUAAGACUGGGAUAACUUCGGGAAACCGGAGCUAAUACCGGAUAAUAUAUUGAACCGCAUGGUUCAAUAGUGAAAAACGGUUUUGCUGUCACUUAUAGAUGGAUCCGCGCCGCAUUAGCUAGUUGGUAAGGUAACGGCUUACCAAGGCAACGAUGCGUAGCCGACCUGAGAGGGUGAUCGGCCACACUGGAACUGAGACACGGUCCAGACUCCUACGGGAGGCAGCAGUAGGGAAUCUUCCGCAAUGGGCGAAAGCCUGACGGAGCAACGCCGCGUGAGUGAUGAAGGUCUUCGGAUCGUAAAACUCUGUUAUUAGGGAAGAACAAAUGUGUAAGUAACUAUGCACGUCUUGACGGUACCUAAUCAGAAAGCCACGGCUAACUACGUG
rnacentral:rRNA from 1 species